GAAAAAAAGAGGUACUAAUAACACUAUAUUAAGAGAUCUCUAUUGUAAUCUUGGUAAAAAGAAGCGGCAAACAAGAGUCGAUCAUUUCACAUAAGCAUGAUAAAAGAGAACCUCACACAUCUUCAAAUGAUAUGUAGAGUAGAGAGGGUCAAUCUUGAAAUUUUGGCACAAAUUAUAGCAUCCUCAGCCAUCAAAUGGAAAUUAUACUUUAACCAUCAAGAGAGAAGAUAGCCCCUUCAUUGUGGUUUAACUUUUGUAAAAAUGGGAUUUGGACCUUGGACACGUUUGCUGCAAAAACCAGUUAUAUAGGUCUAAUAACAACAUUAUCUUAGGCAUAGGAUUUGCUGGUUCUGAGAUUUUAUGAGUUAUCACAAUUCUUGAACAUUUU
rnacentral:misc_RNA from 1 species